CACACACAUCUCUACUUUUCUCAGCUCGGUUUUCUCUCCUUCACUCCCUUUGUGAGUUCCCUCUCGAGCCUCUUUCUCUUUGCCUCCUGUUUUAAGUUAGUGAGAUAAGAGAUGUAUCUUUGGCUUUCUGUCCUCACUGUCCAGGGCUGCCUUCUGCUCUGGUGCUAGAUACCAUUACACACAUCUCCCUCCGUCUUUAUAGAUCUUUAUGGGCUCAGCCAUAUAGUUAGCUUCCUACAAUAACCCUCCCUCAUCUAUGACUAUGAUUUCCAGCCUCAGUUUCCUGCAUCUGAUACUGUCUGAAAAUACAGAGUAGAAAAGGACAGCAUGCCACGCUUCCUCUGGGGAAGGGUGUCCGAGCUGGAGGAAGUAAAGAGAAGACAGGACCCUGAAUAUAGAGGAAGAAAUCAAGGGCCUUCGUUUUCUAACCCAGUCACUGACUCGGUUGGGCAAGAGUUUCUCAAGAAGUGUGAAUGUCUCUCCCAGGAAGUAGGCUUCAUCAUGGGGAGCAUGCUCAGCUGCAGUGCUCACCCCGGAUUUGGUUUUUCCCUUCUGUGGUGAGGAGAUAACUCUGGCCAGGCUUGCCAUCUUUCCCAACAAGCAGAGAAUCCAUCCAAGCAAACGUGCAGAUCUGAUCCAUGAACCCCAGUGUCCAUCUAAGCAGAUGCCUGCCUCCCGUCCUUCUCGCAUUGUGUGAAAUUGAAGAUGAACUAUAGCAAGCAUGAAAGGUCUGCAGUUUCUAAAUGUGUCUAUAGAGGCAAGUCAGUGUCGGCCACCUGAGACGGCAUUAGGCCAGGCCGAAGCAGCCUGCACGGCCCUGCAUAUUCAUUCCAUUAAACACGAUUUUU